rnacentral:lncRNA from 1 species
GUGGGUCUCGAUGACGACGUCGGACUUGGGGUAGGCGUGGCAGGUGAGGACCCAGCCGGCGGCAACCUGGUCGUCGUCGAGGAAGCUCUGGUCGGACUGGUCGAUCUCGCCGGAGACCACCUUGCCGGCGCAGGAGGAGCAGGAGCCCGCGCGGCAGGAGUAAGGCAGGUCGAUCCCUUCCUCCUCCGCCUGGUCCAGGAUGUACACGUCGUCCGGCACCUGCAGCUCCACCUCGCCGUCCGGUGUGAUCAGCUUCACGUUGUACGUC